GACGAACGCUGGCGGCGUGCCUAAUACAUGCAAGUCGAGCGGACAGAAGGGAGCCUGCUCCCGGAUGUUAGCGGCGGACGGGUGAGUAACACGUGGGUAACCUGCCUGUAAGACUGGGAUAACUCCGGGAAACCGGAGCUAAUACCGGAUAGUUCCUUGAACCGCAUGGUUCAAGGAUGAAAGACGGUUUCGGCUGUCACUUACAGAUGGACCCGCGGCGCAUUAGCUAGUUGGUGGGGUAAUGGCUCACCAAGGCGACGAUGCGUAGCCGACCUGAGAGGGUGAUCGGCCACACUGGGACUGAGACACGGCCCAGACUCCUACGGGAGGCAGCAGUAGGGAAUCUUCCACAAUGGGCGAAAGCCUGAUGGAGCAACGCCGCGUGAGUGAUGAAGGCCUUCGGGUUGUAAAACUCUGUCUUCUGGGACGAACGGCCAAGAGAGGGAAUGCUCUUGGAUUGACGGUACCAGAGGAGGAAGCCACGGCUAACUACGUGCCAGCAGCCGCAGUAAAAC
rnacentral:rRNA from 1 species